CUGUUGUGGGCGUAGGAGAUUUGCGGGGUCCUGACACUAGUACGAGAGGACCGUGUUGGACGAACCUCUGGUCCACGGGUUGUUCCGCCAGGAGCACUGCCCGGUAGCUAAGUUCGGUUCGGAUAAGCGCUGAAAGCAUCUAAGCGCGAAGCUAUCCCCAAGAUUAGAUCUCCAUUGAGGGUCGUCGGAGACUACGACGUUGAUAGGCUGCAGGUGUACAAUGGUGACAUAAAGCCGAGCAGUACUAAUUGCCCGAGACUUUCUUCUUA
rnacentral:rRNA from 1 species